CAAAAGAUAGUUUAAAAAAAACACUGGUCUCGGAAUCCAGCAACAGAUCCCAUCUUCUUUUGA
rnacentral:tRNA from 1 species